UCAGGUAAAAAUACUGCUGGUAACGUUGAAGCACUUGACGGGCUUCGUCAACCGUCAGUUAUAAAAGCUCUGUUAAAUACAUUUUGUUCCGGGUUUUAAUGAAUUACGUUACAGUCCUGCUUUAUUUCUUUGUCAUUUUAAAUUAAAUUGCCAAUCAGAAUAAGACAGCUGUGUUGUAAGGAGACGAAAUUCGAGACAGUCAUUUCAGUGAAGCGCGUGGUCAAAGGAACCGGGUGGAAGACGGUAGAAGGGAAAUUAUAUGUAGUUAAAUGUUUGUCGCAGUUUUACACAUAUUCCGUGAGUAUUGUUCGCUUGUUCACGAGUGUUUUAUCAGGGUUGGAGCUAAACUCGGAAGGAAAGUGGAAACUGCUGGCCAAAGUUGAGAACAUUCCGCCGGUCUGUAUUAUAAAUGCACGAUUGCAGUGCAGCGUUUGUAUCCGCAACAAGUCUAACGUUAGAUAUGCAUGUUUUCUGUGAUGCACACAAAUAAUUAAUGUGAUGGUAGCUGUUAAGACACUUACAUUUAACAUUCAAAUGUUUUAAAACCCAAACGUGUUCAGGUUUUUAUGUGUAUUUGGUUUGUGAAGUGUAAUUUAUGCUUUUUUCCUCUCCCCCACAGAUAACCAUGGUUAAUAAAUGAUCAGACACGUCACUGGCUUUAAAAUAUAAACCCCAUUGAUGCAAAAAGAUGCUGCAUGGAAUGACAAUGAGGUUUGGAACAGACUUGGUGAAGAACAUGGAAACAUCUCUAAAUAAAAUGGCCCCAAACAUCAUCAGGAGUGCAAAAGAAGGAAGUAAAAAACAUCUCUACGCCAAUCUCAUUGGAGAGGAAACCACAGAAGGUCUGGUGAGGAAUGCUGAACUUAUGUUAUUGCCAGCAUUAUUUCAGGAAAAUCCCAGCUUCCUUGACUGUGUAAAUAGUGAACCCAAAGGUCCCACACCAACCAUAGUGUUCAACGGCUCUCCUGAUCUUCUCAAAUCUGAAAGUAUCAACUUUAUAAUGGACAAUGUGAACUUAAUAUGUGGAAGACAUUGACAUCACAGGCUGUGGAAUGACUGUGUCACAGGUCGGAGAAGCGGACCGCCCCUGUCGCGGAUCACGCUCCUCCUAGUUCCACCUCGAGGAGGUCCCAAAGCACCCCAAUGAGCAGACAAACCAGAGAUAAGUAAAAUAUAAAAAUAUAAACUUUAUUUAAAUUAUUUAAAACUAAAGUGGGGAAUGGGAAUCUAAAAAUCUCGCUUCUCGCCCUCAGGGGGAGUAUUACGGGGCCAGGGACGUUGGAGGGGUUUCCACGUGACUCCAGCUGGAACACCGCUAGAGAGCGUAUCUGGGUGGGUUGGGCACACACCGUCGCGGCGGCCCCUGAUGGCAUCCACAAAGGUCCAAGACCCUCCUAAGCUCCUAGCCGUAGCAGAACUACGUAUUUCAGCACCCGAAGGACUAACAACCCAGCCGGCAUCUGCAGCGUAUAUCCAACGCGAUCAAACUUCACUCUGACAAGUAACUUCCUAUACACAACCACGCCGUCCUUUCGCCCGGACCAGCCCCGCACUCUUUCCGCCCGCUACCUAGCGGUCGCCGGAUCAGCAGAGCCUGCGGACUCUUCGGACUCUGUGACCCUUACAGUAACUUCUACCUUCUCUCUUUAUAUCCUCCUCCAUGGCGUGGCUCGCCCAACCAUCGCUCGCCAUGUCACUCACACAGCUGUGCCUUGUUUCAGUGAGUGCGGGGAUUCCCGGGGAACCCGGAAGUGCCGGUGUCUGUACAAACCGGUCCGGGCGGAACCUCUUCACUCUCCUUUUGGUUCCCCCCCGCAUAGUCACUCCGUGACAACUGUUUGCGUUUUUUUUUCUCCUCAAUGUUCAAUACCCUUUUGCCAUUAAGCACGCAGUGACAUUAAUUUAUAAAAUAUAUGCUUAAGUUUUAAUACCUGUACAAAACAAAUGUACAAUCAACUUGUGUAAAUUGUCAUUUUAUUUAAUAGAUUGUUCAUGAAUUGUCUUUAAAUGCAUUGUGAUUUCGGUAACACUUUACAAUAAGGUUCAUUAGUUAACAUUAGUUAAUGUAUUAACUAACUUGAACAAACCACGAGCAAUACAUUUGUUACAGUAUUUAUUCAUCUUUGUUAAUGUUAGUUAAUAAAAAUUUAAGCUUUAAUUGCUUGUUCAUGUUAGUUCAGAGUGCAUUAACUAAUGUUAACAAGAUUUUAAUAAAGUAUAAGUAAUUGUUGAAAUUAACAUUAACAAAGAUUAAUAAAGGCUGUAUAAGUGCAGUUCAUUAUUAGUUCAUGUUAACUAAUGUAGCUAACUAAUGUUAACUAAUGAACCUUAUUGUAAAGUGUUACCGUGAUUUCUUUAAAUCAUUUCAGACACAUGUAAAAGUUACUAAAACUUAGUACUGCAUAUACUGUACAGUAUCUAUGCGUAAGGGAAAUAACUUGAACAAAAUUUUUUAUGUAUAGUGUAAUUAAUAGUUUAGCUGUUUAAUACAGAGAUGCAAUAUAUAUAUAUGUAUAUGUAUAUGUAUGUUUAUUAAAAAGUGAAAAUGCUUAAUGGAAAUAAUUAAAUAACUAAAUGGUUGAAUGUAAUGAGACAUUUUAAAUGUAAACCAAAGUUUUGCUGUCUAAUACAGAAUAAAGAGAUGUGAUUUUAAGUAAUUUUUAUAGAUUUAUAUUUCUGUAUAAUACAAUUAAUAAAUAGUAAACUUUUAUAA